rnacentral:rRNA from 1 species
GCCAGCAGUGAUAGGUUGAAUGCAUGACCAAUUGGAUCACUGAAGUGAAGCAACAUUGUGCGGGAAUCAUAUCUGGAUGGGUGACCAUCUGGCCAAUCACGCGCUGCUGGAU